UUGGCCAUGGACCGGUGUUCGUUCCUAUCUGCCAGCGUAUUCGCGCUGGUGGCUCUGGGUUCGUUCUGAGAUUAUACGGUUAAACUUGAUCUGGAUAAUACCAGCGAAAGGAUCAUGCCUUCCCUCGUG
rnacentral:ncRNA from 1 species